UCUUUGCUGCAGAGAUCAGUGUCAGUCCCCCUCACUAUACUGUCCCCUAGUACUACUACAUUCCUUUUUGCUUCCUGUACCAUGGUGCCAUGAUCAAUCUGCUCAUCCACUCUGCAGCCUUUCGGUCCACGCAGGUUGAAAGCACCUCAGACCUGGUUUGACAAUUGCAAAGUCUGAGUCUCCUCCACUCCUGUCUGCUUGGUACCUUUACCUGUCUCCCUCACGGUUACACCCUCCUGUCCCUCACCGCUGACCAAACCAGGCAACCCUAUCCUUAGAAGUAUGACUGUCUCCUGGAACGAAGUGUCCAGGUAUUGUUGCGCAGUGUCUGCGGUUUGGCUUCUAGAUCAAUAAUCCUGAUCCAGAAUUCCUCUAGCUGUUUACACUUUCUGCAGACGUGUUUGGCCUGGAUCGCCUUGGCAUCCAAAAGUCCCACAUUCCACAGCUGCAACAUAAAACCUGUCCUGCCAUUAUUGCUUAUUUGAAUUUAAUUACUUUCUUAAUUAACUUGGAAUAAUUCAUGUAUAUAUUACAGUUUACUGUGCUUAUUAAAUGCUAAUACCACUAACUACUAAAAGUUAUGUUUCUUAAUUACACAGGUAUGUGUCUUAAGUGUUUAUUUUAAUUAUUUUACUUUAUUUAUUUAAAUGUUUUAGUUCAUUUUAUUUAUAGAUCUACCCUAACUCUGGUGACCGAAGCUAUCUGUUAAUACACUGUCCCUUACACCAAGCACUUACCGGCCAAUGAACUUACUAGUUUCCUGUGAUAUCACAGUUGUGUUUUUUUCACUUAGUUUCUUCUGCAGCUAAAAUGGCCACAGUCUCAGCUCCAUCCUCGCAGAUUUUAAACAGUGAAGCUCCCGGCUCCUUCCUCGCAGAUUUUAAACAGUGAAGAACGUGAUGCAGGAUUAAUCUUGCAUCCUGAUUUUUGGAAGAGCGUGUUUGUGAGUCUAAAAGGAUGGCCUACCUGUCAACAUAAGACUGGGUGAUGUUUAUGGAUGUUUACCUACCCCCUCCCUCACCAGCCUCCUAACUGAUUGUUUCUUACAGCUGUUUGUCACUGUUUGAAUAAAUCUAGUGUUUUGCCAUUCUUGAAAUGACCUUUAACAGUCCAGCAAAUAUUGUAAUGUUUCUGAGUGAAGUAUUUAAUAGAGGCCUACUGGAAAUACUUGAUUGAUAUCUACCUCCAUUUGAUCAAUUAUUUUCUAUAAUGAGCAAUUUUAAAUAAGAGAAUUUGCAAACAGUGCAGCUACUCAGACAAACCAAAUGGAUUAGGUGUUUUAUAAUAUUUCCAUUCACCAGGAAAUAUUAAGUUUGCUGAACAACUUGGUGAAAGAGCAGAAUAGUUGAGCUGCCCGUAAGGAGGCUGAUUCUCGCAAACAAAUGUGAGCAGGUCGAUGCUGGCUGAUUUGACUGAGUGAGGAAACAACUGCUUUUGUCCUCCCAUCUCCUGAACAAGAUCGUGGAAACACUGCUGAGAGUUAAGUUGAUGCAUCCUAAAUACAUUUGAAGGAAGGCCAUUUGUCCCAUCUUAGCUUGUCAAUUUCCCCCCUUUCAAAAAAAUGAUUUCCUUAUUUUCACCUGUCUUCUUUAUCAAGACCAAAGUUUCUCCUGUCUUUUGUAAUAUCAUGUUGACACUUGACAUCAGCCACGAGUCUUUUCUGUAUAGCUUCUAAUGUUAAAAUAUUUUUUCUCUUUUUGAUUAUUAACAUUUGGUUAAGAUGCUGUUUGAGCAGUACUCUACAGUUUUAGCAAGGCAACCUCUGAUUUAGCAAGAUAGUUCACUGUGCUAUCACUAUUUAUUGAUGUUCAAUCAUUUGACAUUUAAUUGCUGAAUCUAAAAUACAAUUUAAAGAAGAUUGAUGUAACUUUUCUUGGAGAGAAUAGUCAAUUCUAAGUUAAAUAAAUAUUUGGUGUGUGCAAGUACUUAACAUUGUAUUGUUGAGGGUUAAAUGUAAUAUUAGAUUCAUGGUUUUUGCUCUGAUCUCUAUCCAAUGAUGUCUACUUGGAAGUUUUUGCUUGGUGAGGACAAUAUCAAGCCUAUCUAUUGCCCAAUGACCUGUCGAAUCUUUUAGACAUACAGCGAAUUGUUACUUGGAUGAGGUAUGGGAUGUCUAGCUGGAUCUGCAGAACUGCACAGCAACAAGGAAUCAUAGCACUUGCUCAGCCUUUCUAUGGCUCUUGGACUGUAAAUUGCAGUAAUUAAAAAUUCAAAACAGCACAGCCUCCUCUACAAGGAAUCUGUGGAAACAGGAUUAUUGCAAAAGAAUGCAAUUUGUUUUCAAACAUGAAGAUGGUGUGCAGCUUAUUUCUUCUGUUACAUGGAACAACUCUAGAGCCAAUCAUGGAGCAGGCUAUUUUAGAUCUGGUGGGCAGACCAUCGCACCCUAAAUGGUGGAAGAAGUUAUCCAAGUUGCAGGGAAAAAUUUGGGAAAUAAAAACUUUAGAAAAAUUGCAAGAAUUCAUUCAGCAGGAAUCCAUUGUUUAAACUUCCCAAUUCCUUUCGCUGUUGGGAGGGGUGGGGGUUGUUUCACCACUAACAAAAGUGUGUACCGGGGACAAGUACUUAAGGAGUUUAAUCUCUGCUCUGACGUUAAUUGAUCCACAGGCCACUAGAUGGUGUUUUGCAACACUGUACAUCGAAAACAAUACAAAUCUCAUAAGCUUACUUACAAUUACAGCAUUCACAUUGUCCUUUUAACGGGCUGGGCCCAUUCAUCAGCUGGGUCUCGGUUUAAGUUGACUUUUUAUAGACCAUUAAAUUCUAAACUACUAAUCUCAACUCAAGAAUAGAAUACAAUGAACAAUAUAUUAAAUCAGAGAAACUCCUUGACAGAAACAUUUAUUUUAAGGGAACAAUUUCACCUAUAUCCAUACCGUAUCUAUAUCGGAAUUAUUUAGCGUGGACCACUUUUGAGUGUUUUGUUUUGAUGCAGCAGUAUUUAGUAUUUUAAAAUAAUUUUCAUCUCGCUGUGCUGUAAACUGGCGGGAACAACAGUAACCACAGGGGGGUCUGCAGCCAAUUCAUUCAAUCCUCCCUAGCUGUACAAAGUGUAAGUGGCUAAGCUGAGGAGAAAAAGUUGAAGAAACAUUUUUAUUGUUUCUCCACCAGCCCUUUUUCUAAGUGUCAAUCAAAAAUCUUUCAAUUUAACUGCUUCAGAUCAACGUAAUUGGGUCUGGCCGUUUUGGAAAAAAGUGAAGUUUUGAAUAAAGUUACUUGGGUGACCUUAACAUUUUACAGUGGUUCACAUUUGCUUGUGAGUGGUGCUGUGAACAGACGAAUCCUAUCCAUGUAGCCUAGUGUUUGUGUAAACUGUGCCACCAUUUCAUACGUGACUGUAGAAAAAUAACUCUACCCCCAGCAAUCACAUUACAGAGGAUAUAAAGCCAUGAACUCUGUCCAUAAGAGUACACAAUUAACGCCCUGAUAAUUGAAUUGAGUAGAAUUGAGUGUUUUUAAUAGCAUCAUGAUGAAAUGUUGCCAGAACAGUGAACAGAAAUGCAUGAUGAUGCCUUUUAAGAUGUCUGGAUACAGCACAAUGUUUUAGCUUACUACACAAUGUAAAGUGGUAACUGCAGUCUAAUGCUCUUAUUGUUGAUUCCUAUUGCAAAUAAAGGACAUAUUGUAAUACA